rnacentral:rRNA from 1 species
GAUGAACGCUGGCGGUAUGCUUAACACAUGCAAGUCGAACGGACUCUUCGGAGUUAGUGGCGGACGGGUGAGUAACGCGUGAGAAUCUGGCUUUGGGUUCGGGACAACCACUGGAAACGGUGGCUAAUACCGGAUGUGCCGAGAGGAAAAAGAGAAAUUGCCUGAAGAUGAGCUCGCGUCUGAUUAGCUAGUUGGUGAGGUAUAGGCUCACCAAGGCAGCGAUCAGUAGCUGGUCUGAGAGGAUGACCAGCCACACUGGGACUGAGACACGGGCCAGACUAAAACGGGAGGUAGAAGUCGAGAAGUUUCCGACGUGGGCGAAAGGCUGGCGGGGCGAUGCCGCGUGAGGGAAGGAGACUCUUGGGUUGUAAAACUCUUUUCUUAGGGAAGAAAAAAAUGACGGUAGCUAAGGAAUGAGCAACGGCUAACUCAGGA